rnacentral:misc_RNA from 1 species
AACGCACAUUGCGCCCCCUGGCAUUCCGGGGGGCAUGCCUGUUCGAGCGUCAUUACACCAAUCACGCCUGGCGUGGUAUUGGGCGACGGGGAGCGUCAAGCGCCCCGCGCCUCAAUGACACCGGCGGGACGGAUCGAAUCUCAGCGUUGUGAUCAAAAGCCGCUGGCGAGACGAGACGACCUCGGCCGUUAAACAACCCAACUUCUUAGGUUGACCUCGGAUCAGGUAGGGAUACCCGCUGAACUUAA